CGCUCUUCAAGUGGCCCAGAACAACCCAAAAGGGCUCCACACCUCCUGCCUGUUGCAUGCCUGCUAUGCAAGGAGAACAGAUAUAUCAACAUCUGGCACAACAGAAAGAGGGAAAAACUCUCUCAGUGUCUAACAUUUACAGCAGCAGAUCAACUCCUUCGUGCUGCUGAGGGGAAGAAGGAUGAACACCUGUUGCUUCAAAUCCAUGGAAGAUAUCUUGUUGCGUCAGAGGCCAUGUAUCACCACAGUUGCUUUGCAAAUUACACACGAUACCUGAGAGGAACAAAGAGAGGUUUCUGAAGAGGCCAAUCCGUAUCAGGCAGGCUACAGACAUUUCUGUCAGACAGUGGUGGAAGAGCGCCUACUGGCAAACCGUGAAGUGUUGAGGCUUUCACGGCUAAAUGACCUCUUUAAGGAAAUUGUUAGAGAUAAGGAAGGACUGGACAUUUCGACUUAUAAAGCAUUUAGCUUAAAAUCAAGGCUUCCUAAGUCCCAUCCAUGCCUUAAAUUCCUUAAAGCAGCCAGAAAUGACUUUGUCUAUGUAGAGGACCUAACUGCUGAAGAGGUCAUCCAGGAUGAACCGGCACAGCCUUCAUCAGACAGCAGUGACUGAGAGGAGGAUGGCAUGGAACCCACUCAUUUAGGCCAUCAACAAGCAUAGACAGACACCUGUACCAUUCAGCCAUGCUACUGAAAGAGAUCAUAGAGACCAAGUGUAAAGUGACUCCAAAAAUGCCCUGGCCACCAACAUCACAAGACCUUAAGAUGGACACUGCCUCCAGUGUUGCCGGUGCAAAGCACGAAAAUGUGUGCAGGGGAGAUGCACAUGCAAACAGCACCAGCUACCAUGCACAGACAUGUGUGCAUGUAUUGACUGCUCCAAUUCUGCAGGACAUGAAACAUAAGAGGAAAAAAAGAGAGCAAGCUUCAUGGGCAUACUUAUGCCAAAUUUGUGGCUUUCAUAGCACUUUUUUGUAUAAAGUUCAUCUUGUUCAAGUUAA